rnacentral:rRNA from 1 species
UACGGAGGGUGCGAGCGUUGUCCGGAAUCACUGGGCGUAAAGGGCGCGUAGGUGGCACGGGUAGUCGUCGGUGAAAGCUCAGGGCUCAACCCUGAGUCGGCCGGUGAUACUCCCGAGCUCGAGUGUGGUAGAGGCCAAUGGAAUUCCGGGUGUAGCGGUGGAAUGCGUAGAGAUCCGGAAGAACACCGGUGGCGAAGGCGACUCGCUGGACAAGUAUUGACGCUGAGGUGCGAAAGCGUGGGGAGCAAACAGG